rnacentral:rRNA from 1 species
UGGGGAAUUUUGGACAAUGGGCGCAAGCCUGAUCCAGCCAUGCCGCGUGCAGGAAGAAGCAUCUAUGGUGUGUAAACUGCUUUUGUACGGGAAGAAACACUCCUACGUGUAGGAGCUUGACGGUACCGUAAGAAUAAGGAUCGGCUAACUCCGUUCCAGCAGCCGCGGUAAUACGGAGGAUCCAAGCGUUAUCCGGAAUCAUUGGGUUUAAAGGGUCCGUAGGCGGUUUAAUAAGUCAGUGGUGAAAGCCCAUCGCUCAACGAUGGAACGGCCAUUGAUACUGUUAGACUUGAAUUACAAGGAAGUAGCUAGAAUAUGUAGUGUAGCGGUGAAAUGCUUAGAUAUUACAUGGAAUACCAAUUGCGAGGGCAGGUUACUACUUGUGGAUUGACGCUGAUGGACGAAAGCGUGGGGAGCGAAC